CCUACGGGUGGCUGCAGUGGGGAAUAUUGGACAAUGGGGGCAACCCUGAUCCAGCCAUGCCGCGUGUGUGAAGAAGGCCCUCGGGUUGUAAAGCACUUUCAGCGAGGAAGAACGCCUGGUGGUUAAUACCCAUCAGGAAAGACAUCACUCACAGAAGAAGCACCGGCUAACUCCGUGCCAGCAGCCGCGGUAAUACGGAGGGUGCGAGCGUUAAUCGGAAUUACUGGGCGUAAAGCGCGCGUAGGUGGCUUGAUAAGCCGGUUGUGAAAGCCCCGGGCGCAACCUGGGAACGGCAUCCGGAACUGUCAAGCUAGAGUGCAGGAGAGGAAGGUGGAAUUCCCGGUGUAGCGGUGAAAUGCGUAGAGAUCGGGAGGAAUACCAGUGGCGAAGGCGGCCUUCUGGCCUGACACUGACACUGAGGUGCGAAAGCGUGGGUAGCAAACAGGAUUAGAUACCCCAGUAGUC
rnacentral:rRNA from 1 species